rnacentral:misc_RNA from 1 species
CACUCCCUCAAGCCUCACGGUUCCGUGUAGCUUGGCGUUGGGGCUCGCCGAUUGGUGGCCCUUAAAAGCAGUGGCAGUGCCGUCGUAAGCUCUACGCGUAGUACAUAAUCUCGCGACAGAGUAGCGGUGGUGUCUUGCCAAAAGCCCAAAUAUAUGACA